UACAGAGGUCUCAAGCGUUGUUCGGAUUCAUUGGGCGUAAAGGGUGCGUAGGCGGCGCGGUAAGUCGGGUGUGAAAUCUCGGGGCUUAACUCCGAAACUGCAUUCGAUACUGCCGUGCUUGAGGGCGAGAGAGGGACGCGGAAUUCCAGGUGGAGCGGUGAAAUGCGUAGAGAUCUGGAAGAACACCGAAGGCGAAGGCAGCGUCCUGGAGCGUGACUGACGCUGAUGUGCGAAAGCUAGGGGAGCGAACGGG
rnacentral:rRNA from 1 species